rnacentral:rRNA from 1 species
AGUGAACGCUGGCGGUAGGCCUAACACAUGCAAGUCGAACGGCAGCACAGAAAGAGCUUCUUCUUUCGGGAGGCGAGUGGCGGACGGGUGAGGAAUACAUGGGACUGUACUUUUUAGUGGGGGAUAACGUAGGGAAACUUACGCAAAUACCGCAAACGACCUACGGGUGAAAGCAGGGGAUCUUCGGCCCUUGCGCGAGUGUAUGAGCCGAUGUCGGAUUAGCUAGUUGGCGGGGUAAAGGCACACCAAGGCGACGCUCCCUAGCUGGUCUGAGAGGAUGAUCAGCCACACUGGAACUGAGACACGGUCCAGACUCCUACGGGAGGCAGCAGUGGGGAAUAUUGGACAAUGGGCGCAAGCCUGAUCCAGCCAUGCCGCGUGGGUGAAGAAGGCCUUCGGGUUGUAAAGCCCUUUUGGUGGGGAGGAAGGGCAGCAGGUUAAUACCUCGCUUUUUUGACGGUACCCAAAGAAUAAGCACCGGCUAACUUCGUG